GGAUAACUCCGGGAAACCGGGGCUAAUACCGAAUGAUAGAAUGUGGCGCAUGCCACGCUUUUGAAAGAUGGUUUCGGCUAUCGCUUACAGAUGGGCCCGCGGUGCAUUAGCUAGUUGGUAGGGUAAUGGCCUACCAAGGCAACGAUGCAUAGCCGACCUGAGAGGGUGAUCGGCCACACUGGGACUGAGACACGGCCCAGACUCCUACGGGAGGCAGCAGUAGGGAAUCUUCCGCAAUGGACGAAAGUCUGACGGAGCAACGCCGCGUGUAUGAAGAAGGUUUUCGGAUCGUAAAGUACUGUUGUUAGAGAAGAACAAGGAUAAGAGUAACUGCUUGUCCCUUGACGGUAUCUAACCAGAAAGCCACGGCUAACUACGUGCCAGCAGCCGCGGUAAUACGUAGGUGGCAAGCGUUGUCCGGAUUUAUUGGGCGUAAAGCGCGCGCAGGCGGUCUUUUAAGUCUGAUGUGAAAGCCCCCGGCUUAACCGGGGAGGGUCAUUGGAAACUGGAAGACUGGAGUGCAGAAGAGGAGAGUGGAAUUCCACGUGUAGCGGUGAAAUGCGUAGAUAUGUGGAGGAACACCAGUGGCGAAGGCGACUCUCUGGUCUGUAACUGACGCUGAGGCGCGAAAGCGUGGGGAGCAAACAGGAUU
rnacentral:rRNA from 1 species